CCACUUUUCUAUGUCUGCUAUUUUUAAUGUAAACCCGAUACGAUAACUUAUGUAAGUCCAUAAAGUUGCGUUAUUCUCUAAAAGAUAAUUUCUGCGUCAGAAAGCUAAAUAAACAAUCACGUGGUAUAGCCCAUUUGCAUAAAGAACCUUCGAAAUGUUUACUUUAUUAUUUAAAACAUUAAAAACGAGAUCAAAUGAGGUAGAACGAGAAUCGUUUCAAAAACUUCUCAAAAUGAUAUAUUUAAAAACUGAAUUCGUAAAUCAUUUUAAAAAAGGAAGAAUAGCAUGAAACGCAAUUUAUGAUAUUUUAAAUAGACUUGGUCAUUUAUUUUCUAAUAAAAAGCGUUCUGAUCGUCCAAAAAUCCUAGACAUAAAAAAAAAGAAAACCAAGUUCAAGAGAUUUGUCAAUAACCGAAAAGAGGUCAGUCAGAGAAAAUUGAGUAAACCAAUCGACAAUUGGUCGUCGAUUUCAAAAAAUGAAAAUAUGGAUAUUACACAGUCAUCAAAGAAACAUGUCCAGAGAGUGUUCACUGACAAAAGAGAAAUUUUCAAAAGUUAACAAUGUAGAUUGCCGUAAUUUUUUAAAAGUUAACAAUAUAGAUUGCCGUAUCUAACAGAAGUCUAAACAAUUGUUUUGUACUUCAAAGCUGUGGCACUAGGAAAAAAUUAAACAUA